rnacentral:rRNA from 1 species
GCGGUGGAGGCACGUGGGUUUAAUUUCGAUGCAAACCGAAAGAACCGUUAACCUCGGGUUUGGUACGAUGCAGGUGGUAGAGAGAAGAGAUUUAAUCGACUCUGCAGUAAUGCAGAGAGCCUGCACAGGUGCUGCAUGGCUGUCGUCAGCUCGUGUCGUGAGAUGUUGGGUUAAGUCCCGCAACGGGCGCAACCCCUAUUGCCAGUUGCUAACAGGAGAGCUGAGCACUCUGGCGAGACUGCCGCCGACAAGGCGGAGGAAGGCGGGGAUGACGUCAAGUCAUCAUGGCCUUUAUGCCCAGGGCUACACACGUGCUACAAUGGCCGGCACAGACGGCAGCUUAGUGGCGACACUUGGCAAAUCCUCUAAAGCCGGUCCCAGUUCGGAUUGUAGUCUGCAACUCGACUACAUGAAGCCGGAAUCGCUAGUAAUCGCAGAUCAGCCAAGCUGCGGUGAAUACGUUCCCGGGCCUU